rnacentral:rRNA from 1 species
AACCUACGGGGCGCAUCAGUAUUUACUCUUCCACACUUUCCUCAAGUCUGAUGGAGCAACGCCGCGUGAGUGAAGAAGGGUUUCGGCUCGUAAAGCUCUGUUGGUAGUGAAGAAAGAUAGAGGUAGUAACUGGCCUUUAUUUGACGGUAAUUACUUAGAAAGUCACGGCUAACUACGUGCCAGCAGCCGCGGUAAUACGUAGGUGGCAAGCGUUGUCCGGAUUUAUUGGGCGUAAAGCGAGUGCAGGCGGUUCAAAAAGACUGGUGUGAAAGCCUUCGGGGCAACCGGAGAACUGCGUCAGAAAA